UGUUGAUGUGCUCAGUGUGGUGGAGGCGGCCGCGGGUACUAGACGCACGGCUGCCAGUAACAGUCUCAGUGGAUCAGUGUCUCUAUUCUUAGUCGUGGUGUAUUCACGUUAGAUAUAUAUACUUAUGUUGUGAUUAGACAUUCUUGUGGUGAUUUUUUUGUGACAGUUUUUGUGGCUUGACGUGGAUUUUUAAAACAAAAAGUGACAAUAGCAUCUUGGACAACCAUACACAGCUGAUUAGAUUCUUUCGACAUAUGCAACUGGUGUUAAGAAGCCACAACGACUGCAAUAACCCAGCAAUAUCCGGAUGUGUCUGUGGACCAUCGCUGCAAGCAACCCAGGCUGGCUCCCGGCUGCUUCCUAACCCUUCUCUUAACGGUUAGCUUCGUUAUAAACGCUGGUUCGUUGUAGCGGGCGCCACCUUCCUCCACACCCUCCGCCUUGUAAUCGCUAAAAGACCGACCGGAGCGGAACUUAAGUUGAAUUUAUCCGGACUUGUAUUUGUUGUAUUUGUGUGGAGCGUAUUGUUGUGUGGUUGUUGGACACCUGUGUGAGUCCCGGGACGGAGCUCAAAUUGGUCACCCUCUGUGCUGUACAGUACUUGAAGAGCAACAUAUGUUGUGUUGGUGAACUUGUAGUGAAGACUUGAGUAUACUUAGUGAAGGGUGAGCGUGGUGUGUGUGUUAUGAGGAGAGCACAAAGGUAUGAAGACGAUGGUGCUCAGGCCGCUGCUGGUGUACUGAGCCUCCCCCCCCACCACCUCGCGCCCCUGCACGGGAGAACCUUCCCCAGGUGAGCUGUGUUGAGACAAGACCCGGUGAUCCCGGGGACAACACUCAACUUGCUCCACCGUAUAUGGCCUGUUUUGUAAGCAACAUACACACUAACAUCCACCAGAAAGCUGUUACGAGCACCACAUGGGACAUUUAGACUCAAAGUUUGGCUGAGGGAAGAUAAUUAAUACAACUGUGAUCGAAGCAGAGACCGUACAAGCCAUCAAGAUGGGGGACUCAAGCCGCGCCAGCACUCCCUCUUCCUCCACCGCCAACACCACCGCCUCCAGCACCCGCCCCACCACCCCGAGGGAGGAGAGAAACCAGCUUAAGAAGCUGAACAUUCCGGGGGGCAAGCCGUUGCCUUGUGCCAGUUUGGUCGUUGUCAACCCCAAAGGAAAGGUGAGCGAGAGUAGAUCGACGGUUAAAGUCGACCUAGAACGUAGAUAUCGUAGGCUGUAGGUCCUCGUAUACUAGAUCACAGUAGAGAAAGAUCUGGACCUUCCGAUAUUAUCACCCGGGUUUAGUGAAGACUCGUUUUCUGUAGUUACCCCGUGGUUUUCCGCAGUCAAUGUUAUAAGUGCCUAGCCUCUUCCCCUCUCCUUCUAUCCAUAGCUUUCCAGCCAGCCAC